UCUCCAUUUCUAUGGUUAUUUGGCCACUAUAUCUUGGAAGCCUUAUGCCGCAGGACGCGAGUGCAUAAUUUCAGUAAUUAUUUCCUCUUUUUGGAGAUGGACAAUGCUGUAUCUUUUGCUGAAUUUUGGAUUGAUAGCAUUAACGAAGAAAGAACUUCAAAAUAAGAGAUGGCAAGAGUUAUAUGCCCAGAAGAAAAAAGCUUGAAACAUGAGCAAGAAAGAAAUACAAAAAUAAUCCACGUAGUUGCGAGAUAGGCAAAGAAAAUAGAGUUAUUGCAAGCAACCCGAGCCAUGGAAUGAUCAUACAUAAAUUCGAAUAUGAGGCAAAUGCUUAAUAAAGAUAAUAGUUUUAAUUCUUCAAGGUUAUUUAUGGUGAGGAUUUUAUGAUAGUUUGAGUUUAGGAUUACACUAAUACCAAUAUAUUUUUUCUUUCAUCAAGUCUAACAAUAUUUUCAUAUAGUUAGAUACUUAACUUUCGCAGCUUUCUAUCUGUUUACCGAUCUUUGCUAUCUUGAUAACUUAUUCAUAUUUUGUUUAGUUAUUGAACUUCGUUCCAAUGAGCCAACUGCAUACACACAGAAUAGAGAAUCAUGUGCAUUUUAAUAUAACAUAUUAAAUAUUUCCAUAAUCAAUAUCUCUCUUCUACAAGAUUCUUCGAUUUCUAUAUUUUUUUCGUAAUUAAAAUAUGUAUAUUAGAAAACUUUGCUAUGACUGUUGCACAAUUAGUCAAUUUUUAUCAGAAUCCUAUGCUUUGACCAAGUUAUUUUUCUUGCCUAUUAUAUUGGUUUAGUUUAAGUUAAAACUUGUGUUCACAUAUCCAUUAAAUUUCACUCCAUUUUAAGGAUUUUUUUUGGCUUCAUUUUUUCAUUAAUUUACAAUAUUUUUUGAACCUCAGAUGAAAGUAUUUAAAUUUAGUUCACUUAGUGCGAAAUUUCUUUAACAAAAUCUCCAACCUUUUCCUUCUAACAUGCGCCACCCACGCACCCCUCUGAGCUCGCAAUCAUUUUAUGAGCAAACUUUCUGAUGGACCCUACUCCACCUCUUGUGCAAAGCGAGGAUCAAAUCCCAUUGAAGAUAUUUUUAUUCAUCCAUUCAUUAUCUAUUUGUAUGCAAAUGUUAAUAUGUUGGCUUAUAGUAUUUUCUCAACAGUAAUUCUUUUUUCUUUUUAAGGAAAAAGUUUUGUAGAAUAUAGAGUGAUGAGCCUAAUUUCAUGUAUGAAAUUAAAUGUGCAAACUUCUUUGAUCUAAUUAUUAGCCUAUCAUGGCUAACACUUCUGUUGUUACAUUUUCGUCUUAUUUUAAUUAUUUUAUUAUGGCUCGAAAGUAAAAAAAAAAAUAAUAAUAAAGAAUAUAAAUUGUAAACCUAUAAAUUCUCAUCAUCAUCAAACAAUAAUUAACAAAACAUUUUAAUCUAGAUGUGUGAAAUCAUUCUCUAGUUGCACCUAAUAUGUUUCAUCUACAAAAUUUGCAAUAAUGACCCUAUAUCUUGACUUAUGUAAACUCUGUUGCAACAUCUACAGUUAUGUUAUUGUUGGACUUGGAUGAUGUCUGCAGUGAUACUAUUUUUUUUAAAAGAUGCGAUGAUCUUGUGCAGAUACAGAUCUCAUGGACAAACUUGAAACUGGGAAGAAGAUUUCUCACUUGCCCAUGGCGUCUCGAUGUUGAUGGAUGUAACAUUUUUUACUAGUGCGACCUUCCAAUGUGCGACAGAUCGAGGGACAUAAUCUCUUGAUCUCUACGUGUUAGAAGAGAAAUGGAAGCUAAAUUAAACACCCUACGUGCAAGAAGCUGAGGUUCAUUGAAGACUUUGAUAUUAGGAAUCUUCCCUUCGUUUUGAAGAAUUUUGGAAUGUUGUUUUAUGAGUUAGAAAUUGAGUGUGUCAAUGGUCUUGUAACUUAUUUUCCAUUAAAUCAGACAUGCUAUCAAUAAUAUUGCCCUAAUUUUCAAUUUUCA